rnacentral:rRNA from 1 species
CCUACGGGUGGCAACAGUGGGGAAUAUUGGGCAAUGGGCGCAAGCCUGACCCAGCAACGCCGCGUGAAGGAAGAAGGCUUUCGGGUUGUAAACUUCUUUUCUGAGGGACGACGAAAGUGACGGUACCUCAGGAAUAAGCCACGGCUAACUACGUGCCAGCAGCCGCGGUAAUACGUAGGUGGCAAGCGUUAGCCGGAUUUAUUGGGUGUAAAGGGCGUGUAGGCGGGAAAGCAAGUCAGAUGUGAACACGUAGGGCUCAACCCUGAGCCUGCAUUUGAAACUGUUUUUCUUGAGUGCUGGAGAGGCAAUCGGAAUUCCGUGUGUAGCGGUGAAAUGCGUAGAUAUACGGAGGAACACCAGUGGCGAAGGCGGAUUGCUGGACAGUAACUGACGCUGAGGCGCGAAAGCGUGGGGAGCAAACAGGAUUAGAUACCCGAGUAGUC